GGGGAUGUAGCUCAGUGGUAGAGCGCAUGCU
rnacentral:piRNA from 5 species